UACGGAGGGUGCGAGCGUUGUCCGGAAUCACUGGGCGUAAAGGGCGCGUAGGCGGUUCGCUAAGUGGCUGGUGGAAAUCCCGGGGCUCAACUCCGGAGCUGCCGGUCAGACUGGCGGACUCGAGCACGGUAGAGGCGGAUGGAAUUCCGGUGUACGCGGUGGAAUGCGUAGAUACCGGGAAGAAUACCGGUGGCGAAGGCGUUCCGACUGG
rnacentral:rRNA from 1 species